rnacentral:rRNA from 1 species
CGGAAUGAGAACACUCUAAACCCUUUAACGAGGAUCAAUUGGAGGGCAAGUCUGGUGCCAGCAGCCGCGGUAAUUCCAGCUCCAAUAGCGUAUAUUAAAGUUGUUGCGGUUAAAAAGCUCGUAGUCGAAUUUGUGUCUCACGCCGCCGGUUCAUCGUUCGCGGUGUCAACUGGCGUGUCGCGAGACGUCCUGCCGGCGGGCUUAGCUCGUAAGAGCGGCCCAACUCAAUCCCGCCGCGGUGCUCUUUAUUGAGUGUCGAGGUGGGCCGGCACGUUUACUUUGAACAAAUUAGAGUGCUUAAAGCAGGCUAAAACUUCGCCUGAAUACUGUGUGCAUGGAAUAAUGAAACAGGACCUCGGUUCUAUUUUGUUGGUUUUCGGAACCCCGAGGUAAUGAUUAACAGGAACGGAUGGGGGCAUUCGUAUUGCGACGUUAGAGGUGAAAUUCUUGGAUCGUCGCAAGACGGACAGAAGCGAAAGCAUUUGCCAAAAACGUUUUCAUUGAUCAAGAACGAAAGUUAGAGGUUCGAAGGCGAUCAGAUACCGCCCUAGUUCUAACCUUAAACGAUGCCAGCUAGCGAUCCGCCGACGUUCCUCCGAUGACUCGGCGGGCAGCUUCCGGGAAACCAAAGCUUUUGGGUUCCGGGGGAAGUAUGGUUGCAAAGCUGAA